rnacentral:rRNA from 1 species
GUGGAUUAGAUACCCUGGUAGUCCACGCCCUAAACGAUGAUUACUCGAUGUUAGCGAUAUACAGUUAGCGUCAAAGCGAAAGCGUUAAGUAAUCCACCUGGGGAGUACGCCGGCAACGGUGAAACUCAAAGGAAUUGACGGGGGCCCGCACAAGCGGAGGAGCAUGUGGUUUAAUUCGAUGAUACGCGAGGAACCUUACCCGGGCUUGAAAGUUAGUGAAUGAUACAGAAAUGAAUCAGUCCGCAAGGACACGAAACUAGGUGCUGCACGGCUGUCGCCAGCU